GAAAUGCGAUAAGUAAUGUGAAUUGUAGAAUUCAGUGAAUCAUCGAAUCUUUGAACGCACCUUGCGCUCCUUGGUAUUCCUUGGAGCAUGCCUGUUUGAGUAUCAUGAAAUCUUCAAAGUAAAUCUUUUGUUAACUCAAUUGGUUUCUACUUUGGUAUUGGAGGUCUUUGCAGCUUCACACCUGCUCCUCUUUGUUCAUUAGCUGGAUCUCAGUGUUAUGCUUGGUUCCACUCGGCGUGAUAAGUUAUCUAUCGCUGAGGACACUGUAAAAGGUGGCCAAGGUAAAUGCAGAUGAACCGCUUCUAAUAGUCCAUUGACUUGGACAAUACUUUUAUGAUCUGAUCUCAAAUCAGGUAUGACUACCCGCUGAACUUAAGC
rnacentral:misc_RNA from 1 species